GAAAUGCGAUAAGUAAUGUGAAUUGCAGAAUUCAGUGAAUCAUCGAAUCUUUGAACGCAUCUUGCGCUCCUUGGUAUUCCGAGGAGCAUGCCUGUUUGAGUGUCAUUAUAUUCUCAACUCUCCAAUACUUUGUUGUAAAGGAGAGCUUGGAUUGUGGAGGUUUGCUGGCUCCUUACUUGGGGUCAGCUCCUCUGAAAUGCAUUAGCGGAAUCGUCUGCGAUCUGCCACAAGUGUGAUAACUUAUCUACACUGGCGAGGGGAUUGCUUUCUGAUGUUCAGCUUCUAAUCGUCUAAGGACAAUUUCUUGAAUGCUUGACCUCAAAUCAGGUAGGACUACCCGCUGAACUUAA
rnacentral:misc_RNA from 1 species